GUGCUGUGAUGAGAUGAUUGGUUCUGAAAUUACUUUGAUGUUUCUUAAUCGAGCUUUUUAAAACUGAGCACC